rnacentral:tRNA from 1 species
GGAUGUAGUUCAAUCGGUAGAGCGCCAGAUUGUGGUUCUGGUUGUUGCGGGUUCAAGUCCCGUCAUC